UUAUGAUGAUACCAAUAACUCUACAUGCCCAAAAAUUGACGAGAGCCUGAUUCCACCUCGCUGCCUCACAGAUGAUGUGUGAAUAUUGCGUGUGUGAGAACUUGCCUAUUGAGACCCGGUCCAAUAAUCAUGUUGUAGUCGGCUUCUACUCACAUUCCUGGGUUUUUUUCUACAGGAAAUUAAUUCAAAUUGAAUGUUUAAAAUUUAUUUAUUUCAUUUGUAAGUAAAUCUCUAUUAUUCUGAUGUAUUUCUACUGGAUGUGCCUUCUUGUGCAACUUUUCUAAUGUUUAUGUGGAUUAUUUCCCUUUUGAAUGUCAUGUCAUUCCAUUCAUAACACAAUUACACUAAAUCAGUGUUUAUGGAUUUUUUUACCCAAGGUUUUUAUUUAUUUAUUGGGAGGGCAAAAUGUUUGCCGCUCGUUUUACAUCUUAAAAAGAGCAGGGUUUUGAUUCAUGUAGGCCUACUUAAAAUCCAAAUAUUGAGACAUUUUCCACCAUUUUUCAAGUCAUGAAGUUGACUUACGUUUAGCUUAUGUACAGACAGUAGGAACACAUACUUCAGUAUGUUCCUUUAUCAAAAAGAGGCUCUGCCUAUCAUUUUUUAUAUUGCGAGUUUGACUAAUGUAGAGUACCAUUUUUUUUUUUGUAAUGGGAGUCUAACUCACAUACCGUACUCUCUUAUUGUGAUCUUUCCUCAAAACAGCUAUCAGUGAUCUAGGCCAUUGUGUUACGACUGUGUUCCUUUGAAUGUCAUAUUUUGUGAUGUAACCUAUAGAUACGUAUCUCUGCCCCUCGGGACCAUCCUAACUUACACUAUUGCAAUCAUUGUUUUCAGAUGGUUACCUUUUUUUCACUUUGGAAUUAGACAAUCUAACUUUGGACUCUUUGUUGGUCGUCGUAAUAAUUGUUAUCAUUUGAUAAAUCAGUUCUAUAGCGCCCACUCCCUGGUGGCUCCACGCGCUGCACAAUGAAAUAAAAUUUCAACAGCUUUCAUAUAAUUUUAAAAAAUAUAUAUAUAUAUAAUAUUGUAUGCAUACUGCUCCAUUCAAUGUAUAACAAUCCGAUCAAAAACAUUUGCAUUUUGUCAUGUUUGGAGGUAUUAAUGUUGCUUCGCUCUGAGGACAUGUAAAGCUGGGUGGCGUCUGCGUGCGUGUGACAGUGAAAGGAAUUAUCGGGACUUGUUACGAUGAAACUGAGAAGGUAUUGUGUACAUGGUGUCUAACUGUUGUCCUAACACAGAGCACUAUUGCAGUAUCCUGUAUUAUUUCAAGCUGUACAUAGCUAACCAUUUUUUUUCUGUUUAUAAGAACAGACCGAACGCUCAGAUAGGUAUGACAUUUCUUUCUUAAUCAUCAUCAUCAUCAUCAUCAUCAUCAUCAUCAUCAUCAUCAUCAUCAUCAUCAUCAUCAUCAUCAUCAUCACCAUUCAUGACAGUGACGUGUAAUGACCGUUCAUUGCUUAUAUCAUCCUUUCAAGUACCUUGUACUUCAUGUUUACCAUUAUAUGAUCAUUUCUAUCUUUGUUGUGGUUUUUACUAUUUGAUGUAAUGUUAAUACUAUUGGUCGUAUUGUUAUGAUCUGUGUUAUUAUUAAUAUAUUAUUGUGAUAUAUCAUUGUGAUAUCAUUAUCAGUGGUCAUUUUUUUUACAUAUUAUUUACCGUUUUUGUUACUAUUAACAUUAUUUUAGUCCUAUUUCGGAAUAGUUUAUUGUCAUUUUUUAAAAUGAUUUUAAAAAUUAUUGUUAACGUCAAUGUUUUUUUUGGUAUCAUACGACUGUUUCUUUUCCCCUACAACGUUUUCUCGUAACCGUAGCCUUUGAGAGGUCUGAACAAACUCAGGUCUUGACAUCUCUUCAUGUUUUCUACUUCUUAUAUAUCUAUCUAAACACCAUUGUGAUAAUGUGAGGAUUUAUGGAGGAGCUCUCAUUGUCAUGUUUUCUUUGAAAGACCUUUGUGUAAAAAAUGUAAGUGUAUUAUGGUGGGUUGGACACCCCUAUCAACACUGCUAGCUUAUUGAAUCUAAGAGGCAGGACCUCUGAAUUUAACGUCGGUCUCUCCGAUAGGACUGAGCAUUAAAUGGGUCGGUGAGAGCCUUGAAAACCCCACAAAACAACAUACGCUCAAGUCCAAAGGUCCACUUUGAAAUUUUCAAUCAGGCCCACUUUGAAUUUAAACCAGGACCGGCAGUACUGUAGUCCAGCAUGAUGCCAACUGAGCUAGAUCUAAUAACAGAGCACCUGAGAUUAUUCUGAUAGUGUGAGGAUUUGUUGAGCAGCUGCCUCUGCCAGAACCAACUCUCUCCUCUACAAUGACCGGAUGUGUUAUCAGGUUGUACACUCUCUCCUCUACAAUGACCGGCUGUGUUAUCAAGUUGUACACUCUCUCCUCUACAAUGACCGGCUGUGUUAUCAAGUUGUACACUCUCUCCUCUACAAUGACCGGGUGUGUUAUCAGGUUGUACACUCUCUCCUCUACAAUGACCGGAUGUGUUAUCAAGUUGUACUUACUGACACACUGAUGCACCAUUUCAUCAGCAUUUUGAGUCGCUCAAGUCUACGUGUACAUGAAGGAAUUCAUGUGCAAAUAAAACAUUGUUCACAUCCUU
rnacentral:lncRNA from 1 species